UGUUGGCAGUUUCUGUUGAACUCUUCGCUGUUGGCUUCCAUCACAUGUUCUGAACACCGAAUUCUUUUUCUUUAUGACAGCUGAAGUUUUUCUUUCCAAUUUGACAUGAACUCAGUCACCAGAUUCUAGACGUGGCAGUUCUGAGUUCUGCCUGUUGUAAAAGUGUUCAUAAUCUUUUUUUCUUUUCUCCUUUUUAUCCAAUUUGGCAACUCUUCAUGUCUGGCCACUUUGGAAAAGACUCUCUCAGGUUGGAACAGCAGUGCUGAGUGGUCUUCCCAGCAGAAGUUGUGUAGAACUAGACCCAGUAGCUGCUCUUGCUGUUAUCUGUAACUCGGAGCAAGAAAUGGCUCUUCCAGCAGUAGGAUUUUCUUGACUGUUUUUACCACUCUCUCAGCCUCUCCAUUCACUUAACUUCUCCUAUGACCGUGGCCAAACAACUGUUCAUCUCACUACACCCAAGUGCACAAUGAAAAUUAAUGGGAAGCAGGAGUUAAGGGAUUACUGUCAGUCUCCUGACCCAGAAAGCCUGGAGAAGUUCUACAAUGACAAAAGACUUGCCAGGUCAAUCUAUUAAAUAAACCUCCAUUAUAUUGAGCAGACAGUGCUAAUCUUUCAUUUAACUUAAGCUGUCCAGAACAUACUCUGGGUUCCGCUCACUCGGUCUUCCAAUUUAAUUGCUGUUGGCUGAAAAAGUUUCUCAUUUAGUUGUCAAUCUGCUCAAACAUGCUGGCUAUUUUGAAUUAGUGCUGUCUUAUCUUUUUUCAAAUUAAGCGCCAUGAAAAUAAGAAAGUGACU